rnacentral:tRNA from 1 species
GCCCUCGUAGCUCAUCUGGAUAGAGCGUUUGCCUCCUAAGCGAAAGGUAACAAGUUCGAAUCUUGUCGAGGGCGCCA